rnacentral:tRNA from 1 species
GACCCCGUAGCUCAGUAGGAUAGAGCAUCAGAUUCCUAAUCUGGGGGCCGCAGGUUCGAAUCCUGCCGGGGUCGCCA